rnacentral:rRNA from 1 species
GAUGAACGCUGGCGGCGUGCCUAAUACAUGCGAGUCGAGCGAACGGACGAGAAGCUUGCUUCUCUGAUGUUAGCGGCGGACGGGUGAGUAACACGUGGAUAACCUACCUAUAAGACUGGGAUAACUUCGGGAAACCGGAGCUAAUACCGGAUAAUAUUUUGAACCGCAUGGUUCAAAAGUGAAAGACGGUCUUGCUGUCACUUAUAGAUGGAUCCGCGCUGCAUUAGCUAGUUGGUAAGGUAACGGCUUACCAAGGCAACGAUGCAUAGCGCACCUGAGAGGGUGGCAGGACCCAUAGAACUGAGACACGGUCCAGACUCCUACGGGAGGCAGCAGUAGGGAAUCUUCCGCAAUGCGCGAAAGCCUGACGGAGCAACGACGCGUGAGUGAUGAAGGUCUUCGGAUCGUAAAACUCUGUUAUUAGGGAAGAACAUAUGUGUAAGUAACUGUGCACAUCUUGACGGUACCUAAUCAGAAAGCCACGGCUAACUACAUG